CUGCUUGACAAUCGUUACAAAACUAACCAAAAUUAUAAACCGUAAAGAAAUAUUAAUCCACAAAUAUAAACUCGAAUUUAAAGUUUAUCUGCAGCAGCACAAAAGAUAAAAUCAAUUUCUUAUCGAAAUUGCAAUCAUUUUAAAAGCGAUUAUCCCCCGCCAAGCUCACAUGUGCUGUGUGUUAUGUUAUGUUGUGUCUCGACGGUGCUCAAAAUAAACAAUUCAGAAGCCAUAAAAGGCGACAGAUUUACAGUCGUAAGUUGAUUCAGACUGAACUUUUUCGCAGCUGCCGCAGCAGCAUCAGCAACAGAAUUUGACGCCAACGCAUUUAUCAGCACAAUAUUGUAAUCGUAUAGAAUCGUAUAUGUAUUCAGUGUAUAUACUUUGUCUACUCGUGUUUGCAUUGCAUUUUCUUUUUUGUAAAUCACAUCUGCUCGGGGGAUACAUUUUUGGCCAGCGCAUCCCUGCGGACCAAGUUCAAGCAUGUGGCACAAAAUCCAGGGAGCGAGGCGAGAUAUUUGUGGUCAGCAGGUGGUCAGUGGUUAGCCGGAAGUGAGUCGCUUUUAUUGCCUGUCAUUCAAACUUGGCCCAAGAUAACGCAAUUAGACGCUGGAGUGCUGUUUGCACUGCUGACAGACAGACAGAGAGAGGAGAGAGAGAUUGAAAGGGAAGUGAAGCUCUGCUUAGCUCAGCUUUGUGGCACGUGGAUGAGGUGAGCGAACUUUUGCAAUGUGUGACAUUCAGCAAAAAGUUCAAGGAGCUCUGCAUUUGUUUUGAAGAGGACACACUCCAAAAACUAUGCGGUGACUCGGCACUUUAUCCCCUUCUCCUUCUC